AGCGAUUCUCAAUUUAUCAGGGUCCAGCAAUAAAAAACCCCGACUUAAUCGGGGUUUUUUAUUAUCUAAAUUUCCUUUUUAAGGGUUUUAGGUAUUUGCUUGGUAUUUAAAUUGGGCUCUAAGCCCUUUUUUU
rfam:Vibrio cholerae O1 biovar eltor str. N16961 chromosome I, complete sequence.